CCCUUAGAUGUUCUGGGCCGCACGCGUGCUACGCUGAGUGGAUCAGCGGGUCAGGUUGCGCGAAAGUGUUUCCUAAUCUUGAAAUCCGCUCGUGAUGGGGAUUGACGGUUGCAAUUUUCCGUCAUGAACGAGGAAUACCUUGUAAGCGCGGGUCAUCAUCCCGCGCUGAAUACGUCCCUGCCCUUUGUACACACCGCCCGUCGCUCCUACCGAUUGAGUGGUCCGGUGAGGCUUUGGGAUCUGAGCGGAAAGAGCGUUUCGCUGUUUCUGCUCGGAAAACUCAGUCGAACCUUAUCAUUUAGAGGAAGGAGAAGUCGUAACA
rnacentral:rRNA from 1 species